UGAGGAAUAUUGGUCAAUGGGAGCAAUCCUGAACCAGCAAUGCCGCGUGUGGGAUGAAGGCGCUUCGCGUCGUAAACCACUGUCGGACGGGACGAAAGGAGCUAUGAAGCUCUAGGACGGUACCGUCAAAGGAAGGAUCGGCUAACUACGUGCCAGCAGCCGCGGUAAUACGUAGGAUCCAAGCGUUGUCCGGAUUUACUGGGUAUAAAGGGUGCGUAGGCGGCCUUGUGCGUCAGAGGUGAAAUCUCCGGGCUUAACCCGGAGGGUGCCUGUGAUACAGCAGGGCUUGAGUGCGAGAGAGGAUGAUGGAAUUCCUGGUGUAGCGGUGAAAUGCGUAGAUAUCAGGAGGAACACCGGUGGCGAAGGCGGUCAUCUGGCUCGAAACUGACGCUGAGGCACGAAAGCGUGGGGAUCAAACAGG
rnacentral:rRNA from 1 species